GGGGAAUCUUGCGCAAUGGCCUAACGGCUGACGCAGCGACGCCGCGUGAGGGAUGACGCUCUUCGGAGUGUAAACCUCUUUUGCCCGGGACGAAUUGCCAACAUCAGUUGGCUUGACGGUACCGGGUGAAUAAGCACCGGCUAACUCCGUGCCAGCAGCCGCGGUAAUACGAAGGGGGCUAGCGUUGCUCGGAUUGACUGGGCGUAAAGGGCGCGUAGGCGGUUCGUACAGUCAGACGUGAAAUUCCUGGCUCAACCUGGGGGCUGCGCUUGAUACGUGCGGACUUGAGUGCGGAAGAGGGUCGUGGAAUUCCCAGUGUAGAGGUGAAAUUCGUAGAUAUUGGGAAGAACACCGGUGGCGAAGGCGGCGACCUGGUCCGAUACUGACGCUGAGGCGCGAAAGCGUGGGGAGCAAAC
rnacentral:rRNA from 1 species